rnacentral:rRNA from 1 species
AGUCGGAAUUGCUAGUAAUCGCGGAUCAGCAUGCCGCGGUGAAUACGUUCUCGGGCCUUGUACACACCGCCCGUCACACCAUGGGAGUCGGUAACACCCGAAGUCUGUAGCCUGACGCAAGAGGGCGCAGCCGAAGGUGGGAUUGAUGACUGGGGUGAAGUCGUAACAAGGUAAC